UGGGGGAUAUUGCACAAUGGGCGAAAGCCUGAUGCAGCGACGCCGCGUGGGGGAUGAAGGCCUUCGGGUUGUAAACUUCUUUUGCUCUGAACAAGGCAUGCUAAUGGGUGUGUUGAGUGUAGGGGUUGAUUAGCGCCGGCUAACUACGUGCCAGCAGCCGCGGUAAUACGUAGGGCGCGAGCGUUGUCCGGAAUUAUUGGGCGUAAAGGGCUUGUAGGUGGCUGGUUGCGUCUGUCGUGAAAGCUCAUGGCUUAACUGUGGGUUUGCGGUGGGUACGGGCUGGCUUGAGUGCAGUAGGGGAGGCUGGAAUUCCUGGUGUAGCGGAGGAAUGCGCAGAUAUCAGGAGGAAUACCGGUGGCGAAGGCGGGUCUCUGGGCUGUUACUGACACUGAGGAGCGAAAGCAUGGGGAGCGAACAGG
rnacentral:rRNA from 1 species